rnacentral:rRNA from 1 species
GACGAACGCUGGCGGCGUGCUUAACACAUGCAAGUCGAACGAAAAGAGGGAAAGAGCUUGCUCUUUCCGGAAUUGAGUGGCAAACGGGUGAGUAACACGUAAACAGCCUGCCUUCAGGAUGGGGACAACAGACGGAAACGACUGCUAAUACCGAAUAAGUUCCAAGAGCCGCAUGGCCCAUGGAAGAAAAGGUGGCCUCUACCUGUAAGCUAUCGCCUGAAGAGGGGUUUGCGUCUGAUUAGCUGGUUGGAGGGGUAACGGCCCACCAAGGCGACGAUCAGUAGCCGGUCUGAGAGGAUGAACGGCCACACUGGAACUGAGACACGGUCCAGACUCCUACGGGAGGCAGCAGUGGGGAAUCUUCCGCAAUGGGCGAAAGCCUGACGGAGCAACGCCGCGUGAGUGAUGACGGCCUUCGGGUUGUAAAACUCUGUGAUCCGGGACGAAAAGGCAGAGUGCGAAGAACAAACUGCAUUGACGGUACCGGAAAAGCAAGCCACGGCUAACUACGUG